CGGGUGAGUAACGCGUGAGGAACCUGCCUCAAAGAGGGGGGAAACAGUUGGAAACGACUGCUAAUACCGCAUAAGCCCACGGUGCCGCAUGGCACAGAGGGAAAAGGAGCAAUCCGCUUUGAGAUGGCCUCGCGUCCGAUUAGCUAGUUGGUGAGGUAAUGGCCCACCAAGGCGACGAUCGGUAGCCGGACUGAGAGGUUGAACGGCCACAUUGGGACUGAGACACGGCCCAG
rnacentral:rRNA from 1 species